rnacentral:tRNA from 1 species
GCCUGGUUGGCCUAGUGGAAAAGGCGCUGCGGGGGCGGUUCUGAGCCAUCCCGGUUCUGAACCGUGUGGUGGCCUGCCUUUCGAGAGACCCUGGUUCGAAUCCAGGACCGGGCA